UACGGGGGGGGCAAGCGUUGUUCGGAAUUACUGGGCGUAAAGGGCUCGUAGGCGGCCAACUAAGUCAGACGUGAAAUCCCUCGGCUUAACCGGGGAACUGCGUCUGAUACUGGAUGGCUUGAGUAUGGGAGAGGGAUGCGGAAUUCCAGGUGUAGCGGUGAAAUGCGUAGAUAUCUGGAGGAACACCGGUGGCGAAGGCGGCAUCCUGGACCAUAACUGACACUGAAUAGCGAAAGCCAGGGGAGCAAACGGG
rnacentral:rRNA from 1 species